rnacentral:rRNA from 1 species
UACGUAGGGUGCAAGCGUUGCUCGGAAUCACUGGGCGUAAAGGGUGCGUAGGCGGGUCUUUAAGUCAGGGGUGAAAUCCUGGAGCUCAACUCCAGAACUGCCUUUGAUACUGAAGAUCUUGAGUCCGGGAGAGGUGAGUGGAACUGCGAGUGUAGAGGUGAAAUUCGUAGAUAUUCGCAAGAACACCAGUGGCGAAGGCGGCUCACUGGCCCGGUACUGACGCUGAGGUGCGAAAGCGUGGGGAGCAAACAGG